GUUAAACCUUGAUUUGAGGAGAUAAGACAAUGACCUGCCCUCUUAACUAGACUUUCCAUAAGGGUCACGGAUUGUGCAGUUAAGGAUGCAACACUAAUGCACUUUAUCUUUAAAACCAGACUUCAUAUAUACAAGGAAGUCUAUACAAGUCACACUUUUGGAAUGGGCAUAAGUUAUUAAGAGCAAAAAAAAAUCCCUCUACAGGAUAUGAGCUACAAAGGAGGGUAAGAAAAAAAUUUAAAUCAAAAACAAAUUUUUGCGUUUUGACUUGGCUUGCAAAACCCUUACCAGAACAGUACCUGGCAAAGAAGAAGAGGCAGACAGAGAAAGCGGUGGAAAGCGACAUAAAAGAAUGGAUGGCUGAGAAAAAUUGAUGACAGUCAACAGAUCUUGUGUGGUGCCCCAAUGGUCCAACAGACUAUGUUUAGGUGAAGAUGGGUGAGCCUGGAAGGAGUUGUCUAAACAAGUCAGGAAAAUCAAGGAUAAUAGCCUACAUAAAAUAAAACACUAAACCAUAACUUACAAAUAGAAAAACAAAACCUAAUAAGAUACCCAGAAAGACACAAAGAUAGAGGCACAUUUCUUAUUCCGUAUGCUAGAACAAAUUCUUACAAGUACUCCUUCUUCUCUAGUGCCAUUAGAGAAAGGAAUGGGUUGCCUGAAUCAGCCAGAAAAACCAACGACUUAGCACAGUUCAAGUCAUUGAUUAACAUGCAAGACUAGUUUGACAGAUGAAAUGCAUAGAAAGUAAUUAUCUUCUUUUAAGAAGUAGUAGCGUCUGUAAUAUAUAAGAUAAGAUAGCCUUUAAUUCUUCUGUGUCUAUAUUUAUUAAACUAAGAUGAUGCAACCAAUCCGAAUAUGCAAAUAUUGCUUUUUUUUUUUUACAAGAAUCACGUCUAAUCUUAUCUUAUAUAAUAUAGACGUUACUUCAGAAAAUAAGAUGAUUACAUCCUACACGGCAUACAUAUAGUCAUGUAUAUUAAAUAGUUAAAAUAGCCUAUUAACCAAUCAUCCAAUGAGACCAAUGACUUAAAUUCUGCCAAGUCACUGGUUUUCAGGCUAGCUCAGAUCUAGAUCUAGAUUCUAUAACGGUGAACGUAUAGAAUAGAUGUACUAGAUAGUAGUAGUAGUACUAUAGUCUAUAACUAUAAAUCUUAAGUAGGCUAGGCUAUAGUCAUACAAGUCAUAGUCUAUAUUGUCUAGAUUCUAGAUAGUAGAUCUAUCCAUAUUCUAUCACUUCAGUAUCAGAAAUCUAUCUAAGUAUAAAUAAAUUUAUAAAUAGGCUUCUUGAAAUAGUAUAAAUUACAGAUACAGUCUACUCUUUAGUAGAAUAAUUGCAGAUAAUUCAAUGAAUAUUAAUAAUAAAGUAGAUCUAAAUACGGUUCAUACUUUCACACAGAAACACU